rnacentral:rRNA from 1 species
UACGUAGGGAGCAAGCGUUGUCCGGAAUCAUUGGGCGUAAAGCGCGCGUAGGUGGCUUUGUAAGUCCGUUGUGAAAGUCAAAGGCUCAACCUUUGAAUGCCGAUGGAUACUGCGGAGCUAGAGUACGGAAGAGGCGAGUGGAAUUCCUGGUGUAGCGGUGGGAUGCGCAGAUAUCAGGAGGAACACCAAUAGCGAAGGCAGCUCGCUGGGACGUUACUGACACUAAGGCGCGAAAGCGUGGGGAGCGAACAGG